rnacentral:rRNA from 1 species
AGUGGCAAACGGCUGAGUAACGCGUAAGGGACCUGACCCUGGGAGAGGGAUAACCCACUGAAAGGUGGGCUAAUACCCCGUACGCUGGUUGGCUGCAUGGCUGGCCAGGAAAGCUGCGGCGCAAGUCGUGGCGCCCGGGGAGGGCCUUGCAUCCUAUCAGGUAGUUGGCGGGGUAACGGCCCACCAAGCCAAAGACGGGUAACCGGUGUGAGAGCAUGGACGGUCAGAGGGGGACUGAGACACGGCCCCCACUCCUACGGGAGGCAGCAGCAGGGAAUUUUGCGCAAUGGGCGAAAGCCUGACGCAGCGACGCCGCGUGGGGGAAGAAGGCCCUCGGGUUGUAAACCCCUUUUCUGGGGGAAGAGCAAGGACGGUACCCCAGGAAUGAGCCCCGGCUAACUACGUGCCAGCAGCCGCGGUAAUACGUAGGGGGCGAGCGUUGUCCGGAAUUACUGGGCGUAAAGGGCGCGUAGGCGGCCCAAGAAGUCUCCGGUGAAAUCUCCCGGCUUAACUGGGAGCGGUCCGGGGAAACUCUUGGGCUUGAGGACAGCAGAGGAGGGUGGAAUUCCCGGUGUAGUGGUGAAAUGCGUAGAUAUCGGGAGGAACACCAGUGGCGAAGGCGGCCCUCUGGGCUGUACCUGACGCUGAGGCGCGAAAGCGUGGGGAGCGAACCGGAUUAGAUACCCGGGUAGUCCACGCCCUAAACUAUGGAUGCUGGGUAUGAGGGGUAUCGAACCCCCUCGUGCCGAAGCUAACGCGUUAAGCAUCCCGCCUGGGGAGUACGGCCGCAAGGCUAAAACUCAAAGGAAUUGACGUGGGCCCGCACAAGCAGCGGAGCGUGUGGUU